AAAACCAUUAACUACUUAUUCUCACUGAGGUUCUGCUGCUCAGAUAUAGUAAAUAUGAUUUGAAGUUAUGGUCAGUGAUGUUUCUUUCUGAUGUUUAGCACUCGUAGACUGCAGUCUUCACAUUGCUGUCUCCUCAUCAAGUCCUCGAGGUUUAGUCCUCUAGUGCCAUCUAGUGACACCAUUUCCACACCAGGGAGAUCAGCACUCGUAGACUGCAGUCUUCACAUUGCUGUCUCCUCAUCAAGCCCUCGAGGUGGAGAAUGAACUAAAGCCAGAAAGAGAGAUAAUACUCAUAGU